CGAGAACUUUCGCCACAGCAGUGGAGGGAGUUUGCAUCCGUACGUCAGCCUAGCAUGAAAAACAGAGAGAAGCAGAUUGUGCGGGGACCAGAGGACAGACGAGACUGAUGGAGGAAGCUAACCAGAGGCCUUGCUGGCCCCAGGCUGAUGGCAUCACCUGGACCAGAGGCAGCAGUGCACGAGGCUGUGAACUUCUGAAAAUAAAAAUGACAACAGAAACCGAAAACUCCCAGUCUCUAGAGGAUUGAGAAGAUUGAAACGAAGCAACUUCAUCUUCCUCUGGAAAGACUGGAAGAUCAGUCAGAAAACUUGCCUCCAAAUCUGCCCUAUCAGGCUCACUGCUGCGCAUCACCUUAAGUGGCGAAAGUGGCAUUCACUCAUUCUGAGAGCUAUCCAUGCAUGCUGGCUGUGCUCCUCAGCCAAGCACCACAGAAGGUCCUUGUGUAUGGUGUUUGGUCUUGACAACCCUUCCAAAAAGGUUUCACCACUCUCA